GGGAAGCGCCCCGGGCGGAGGACCUUUCGGAAGCCGCUUAGUUCGCAGUACAAAAUGGAUCUGUACAUCAAAAGGAUGGAUUAAACGAUGAUGAUUUUGAACCUUACUUGAGUCCACAGGCAAGGCCCAAUAAUGCAUAUACUGCCAUGUCAGAUUCCUACUUACCCAGUUACUACAGUCCCUCCAUUGGCUUCUCCUAUUCUUUGGGUGAAGCUGCUUGGUCUACGGGGGGUGACACAGCCAUGCCCUACUUAACUUCUUAUGGACAGCUGAGCAACGGAGAGCCCCACUUCCUACCAGAUGCAAUGUUUGGGCAACCAGGAGCCCUAGGUAGCACUCCAUUUCUUGGUCAGCAUGG
rnacentral:sRNA from 1 species